rnacentral:rRNA from 1 species
UACGAAGGGGGCUAGCGUUGUUCGGAAUUACUGGGCGUAAAGCGCGUGUAGGCGGGUCUUUAAGUCAGGGGUGAAAUGCCAAGGCUCAACCUUGGAACUGCCUUUGAUACUGGGGAUCUUGAGUCCGGGAGAGGUGAGUGGAACUGCGAGUGUAGAGGUGAAAUUCGUAGAUAUUCGCAAGAACACCAGUGGCGAAGGCGGCUCACUGGCCCGGAACUGACGCUGAGACGCGAAAGCGUGGGGAGCAAACAGG